UCCCAGUCUAGCGUUGGAACCACUUCUAGG
rnacentral:piRNA from 1 species